rfam:Monosiga brevicollis mitochondrion, complete genome.
GCCUAUAUAGCAUAUUAGGUAGUGCGUCUGUUUUGUAACCAGAUGGGCAGAGUUCGAAUCUCUGUAUAGGCA